AGGAUUUUAGUUUAAAUAAAACAUUUGAUUUGCAUUCAAAUAAUAUUAAUUAUAAAUUAAUUUAUCUUA
rnacentral:tRNA from 1 species